GUCUUAAAGCCUAGGCUUAUGGCUGAAAAACAUUAUGCAAACUGUGGAUUGUCAUGUUACUAUUGAUUUUACUUUGUUUAUCCACUUUUUAAACUUUGUAUCUGCUAUUUGUUAAUUUUUUACAGAAGUACAACUCCUAAAAGAAUAAUACUGGCCUAAUAAUUUGAGAUGAUGACAAAAAGCUAUGAAGCAGAUGAAAUUGAACUUAAUAAUGAACUGCAAGCAAACACCCUGAGAGCCACUCCUUCAAACUUCCCUUGUUGUUCAACUGUGACUACGUGGAUUUUGACACCGACUCCUAGUCACCGAUAACUUCCAUCAACAUGGCAUGAGACCAGUAACCGAGACAGGUCACUCCUGGCACCAACGGAAAUCAACACCUAACUACAGAAUGAUUAAUAGUGAUGCUUUUGGAAAACGAUCUUGAUCAAAUGAGAGAAACAUGAAAGUUGUCAGAAUCAAAAUGGAGUCACAAUGUAAAAAGAAAACCCAGAUAAAUAGAGCUUGGGAAGGUUAUGAAGACAGGGUCCUCAUGCUUGUAUCCGUGAUUUAAAAAAAACAAAAAAAACAAAAACCAAAAAAAAACAUAUCACAAAAGACUGCAAAACCAAACCCAGCAUUAAGAACAUCAUAAUCUUACACAAAAAAUACUUCCGCAAGGUCGUUUUCUCAGCAACUGCCUAUCUAGACUUGGACUGGCAUCACCCUUGUUAUUGAUCUUCAUAACUAAAGAUAGUCAUUUCAAAACAGUUACAUAAUCCUCAUUUCUUCUUUAAAAGUAUUCGUCUGCCUUUACCUCGCUGCAUAGGCACACAGUUUACUAUGGCGUGCAUACUCCCAUUAUAAUGAAUAUUAUUUUCUUUUUUUUUUCUUUUUUAUUAAACUUUAAGUUCUACGGUACAUGUGCACAAUGUGCAGGUUUGUUACAUAUGUAUACUUGGGCCAUGUUGGUGUGCUGCACCCAUCAACUAGUCAGCACCCAUCAACUUGUCAUUUACAUCAGGUAUAACUCCCAAUGCCAUCCCUCCCCACUACCCCCUCCCCAUAAUAGGCCCCGGUGUGUGAUGUUCCCCUUCCAGAGUCCGAGUAAUCUCAUUGUUCAAUUCCCACCUAUGAGUGAGAACAUGCAGUGUUUGGUUUUCUGUUCUUACGAUAGUUUGCUGAGAAUGAUGGUUUCCAGCUGCAUCCAUGUCCCUACAGAGGACACAAACUCAUCCCUUUUCGGCCUCCCAAAGUGCUGGGAUUACAGGCUUGAGCCACUGCGCCCGGCCUAUUUAGGUAUUUUAAAAAAUUUUACUUUCAAUAACAUUUUGUAGUUUUCAGAAUCCAAGUUUUGCACAUUCUCUGUUAAAUUUAUCUAGGUAUUUUAUUCUUUUUGUUUGAUAUAUAAGACAAGUUGUUUUCUCAAUUUUUUGAAUAGUUUAUUGACAGUGCAUAGAAAUGCAGUUGAC
rnacentral:lncRNA from 1 species